AAGCUGUCCUCGCCGCACACUGUCUCUGACUUCCACACAGAACAGUGUGUGCCCGAGUGUGGCUUCAGUGCUUCACGGCAAACAGUUUGUGCGUUGUUGGUGGAUCAAACACUGGGAGGCUCAUUUAGUCAGUGUGUCGCGGAGCAAAUCAUGUGUACAGUGUUCCAGGAUGAAGCACCACAAUGAUACAAGUGCAGUGCUUAGGUUUGUGAAGGACGCGCCAUCACGUGGGCAGCCAUGAUCCCCUCCAUGCAGCUCCUGGAUGCCACGCGCCGCAACAAGUACUCUCAGGUGCGGGAACAUGGCAAGAGGUGGCGGCGUUGGCAGCUGGUAAUACACCCUCACAGGUGACCAAGGGCAGUACCGUCGCCAGGUGGCCACACAGCCCCCCUCCUCAUACUGCUGGUGAACCUCAACGUGACAGGUGACCUCACUAAGGUUACAGGUCGCAGAGAUUACCUGUAUUUACAUCUAAGAUCUCUAGAUGGACGGUACGUGGAACUGAAUCCUGAGACGAAUCAUCUUGGCAGCGCGAGACUCAAGGGACGAGGCUGAUAUGAUUGUGUGUGGCGUAAAUAACAAGCCAGCGCCAAGUACACGAGUUGGGACGAAACGACACCGUGACGCAGUGGGCCUCUGGUCUCGUGGAGAGUGAUCUGCCGCAAGAGGAGGAAUGCACGUGAGUUUUGUCCUGGCCAAGGAAUUCCGGAUAACGCAGGUGUUUGGGAGAGUGGAUGAUCAGACAGGACUGAGUAGAUGCUGAGUCUCGGGAGUGAACUGUGUGGUGCAGGACUGUAGCGGUUAUGCAGUCUCUUUUAACGAGACACAUCGUGGAGGAGGCUGGCGAGUGCUCUCAACACACGUGACGGAGCGGCGCCAUGGUAACUGUCACCGUGGCCAGGAAGUCUCUUGUGCUGAACACUGCAAUGUUGUGUUAUCAAGACUGUGUAUUGGUGCAGCGCAUACAGUCGGAUCACUAAGCGUGUUGUAGUGAUGAAACUAUGGAAACUAUGGCGAAUGAUUAUUGAUCGUUGGAAAAAAGCAUAGGUGUGAUAAUAAUUCGGUGCUUGAGUUACACUAACACUCCAUCACUACCGCCACCACGGCCAUCACCACCAUCACCACCGCCAUCACCACCGCCGCUACUAAGAGUGGCCACGCGCUCUUCAGGAACCCGCCACGCUGUUUGCCUUUUAUGGACAAGCCGAUCAAGAUAUAUAGUUUGGAAGGCCGCCAGCCAGCGCCCACCAGCGGCCCCAAUGCUCCUUGUGCCUUCACUUGCGGCGUCCCCUCUCCCCUAUCCUCCUCAAAGUCCUUCAGCAUGUCAGUGCCGCCGAAGUCCCGAGUGGCUUCGAGACAAGGAAGAGAAGCCACGCGACUCACUUCAGCCAGUCAGUCAGUGGUCAGUGGCGUCAGCUUCGUUGUGGUGUACGUGUGAGUCUUCUGUGUUUUCUUGGACGCUUAUUUGGGCUUUAGGUGAACCAAAACUCUCCCAAAGCUUAUCCACAGUGGUCAGCAGCUGUGACACAAGGAGCAGCUGUCUCAGCGGAGAGACGGUGGACGGCGGAUGAAUACUUCGGCUCCCGCGCCUUCUUCCGCAUCAUGUCCGACCCGCCGAUCCUGGUGGUGGGCGGCGUGCGUCAGAGGAGUUGAAAAAUGUGAGGGAAGACACAGUAUGUUGAGGGAAGGCAGCUGCACUAGUGACAGCAGCAGCAGAGCCCCACCACUGCUGCUGCUCCUCUCCUCUUCCCAGCACAGCAGCACACAGGACACAUUUCCAUCAUCUUUAAAUCCCGGACACUUGUGCCUUGGUGAUAAUCUCACAGCAGCAAACCCUACAUUGCUCAGGUCAACUUCCAGCUAGAAUCAUAAUAUCUGGAGUUAUUUUUCCACAAAGAAGGAUUCAAAAUAUCCCCCCCAAAAAAUAAGAUAUUUUUAGAAAUGAAAAUCCACUCGAAUUUUCUGCCUGAAGCUCUCGUUAAAAUGACUCCCUCUUGAAUCUUGUGUCCGACUCCAACUGUGUCCAAGAGAAUGGAUCUCCAGUUUGUAGUGAGACUUCCGAGCCGCCCAGACCUGUGAAGGCGAGCAGUCUGUCAGAUAAUGAGAGUAGACAACAUAAGCAACAUAAUGAGAGACAAAGUCACAAUAAUAGAGAUAAAAUGAAGGCACUCAAGUAUUAAUGAGAAAACAAAACAGAAUAAUAAGCAAAGUAAAAUAAUGAGACAAUAAGGCCAGUCAACAAAUAAUAGUGAAUUUACUGUAGGAAGGGUCUGCUGUACUACUUAAUGACCAUUCAAGUCUACUUGUUAAAGAUGUGUUUACACUUUGAAGUGUCAUUUUCUUGUACUAUGAUACAUUUUUUACUAUUUUCUUCCACCUGCCUUAAUUAACAUUGAGUAGAGUCUCACUAAUACAACUUGAAUAUUACUCAGCCGGCAGUCUUUGCCAUGGUGGAGUGUGACACUGAAUCAGUACUGACAUUUUAUCAUUUACAUUUCAUUACUUUGAUUACUCAACAAAAUACUGCAUUGUUUUUUGUAAUCUGCUGACUGGUGAAGGGACAACGUGUGCUCCUCAACACUUGGUUCUUGCCACGUGCCGCAGCAGACUGACAGCUUCCAGUGGGCCUGUCUGAGGUAAUGCACCACACAACAUUAGGAAUAGGAACAAUUAUUUCACUAAAACUUUAAUUACCUGCACUAAAAACUUUCAAUGAGUUUAUGUACUUUGUGAAUUUAGGAAUCUGGAACAAUGAUUGCACUUAUUUAACUACCUGCACUAAAGUGUUUGCUUUAGUUAUGGUGUUGACAGUAAGUAUAAAUACUUUAAGGGGCGUGACCUCCGCCGCAUUGCUUCAGCAGCCUUCAAGUCCCGGCAAUGAAACGGUUCGUGUGAGGAAGACUGCUUCUGGUGCUCCUGGUGGAAAUUGUUACUAGUGUCGUGGUGGCAGCACGGGCCUCGGCACUCCCUGGCACCACGGCAGGUGUCAGUGAGGCAGGCAGGUGUUGGUUCAAGUCCUGGCAGUGUCACUUCGCUGCUGUAUUGUUUGGUGCAGCGGAAAAUGCUACGUUUUUCAUCACUUAGUGUAGAGUCUAUUUUUGCUUGACGUUAUUUGUGUUGGUAAGGCAUUUCCACUAUAUAGUGGUAGAUAUUCUGGGAAAUAAGGAAUUAGCAAUACUAAGACAUGCUUGAACAACACUCACCAGUGUGGAAGACUUGUCAGGCAGUGGCUGUAGUGGCUUCACUUGAACCACGACCAUGUUCUCCUCAACCCUUGGAAAGAGAACAAUUCAUCUGAAAUGGAGAUACAAAGAUAUUGGGGAAAAUUUAAGAGAGAGACGCUGCAAAGUGUAGCUGACAGUGUGCGUGUCGUUAUCAAGAGGAGGGGCUCUAAAAUGAAACAGUAGGACACUCGUGAAGACAUUCAUACUAUCUUUUCUCAAGGGAAGAGUGUGUCGUGUGUGUUAACAACGUCAGGCGCGGACAUUUUUUGCAUCAAGGGUGAUGUACGAUCCGGACAUGAAAAAAGUUUUUUCUUUUAUAAUUUUCUAAUUUUUUUCUGCUUCUUUUGAUAUAUGUAACGUUUUGAUAAGAACUAAAAAAAUCCCCAUAUGUAAAGAGGUCUUCUGUUAUGAAAUUCCCACGGUUUCGCCCGCUGCGAGACAUGUCACACAAGUUUUUUUUACAUUUUUUUUUCUCUUUUCAUAUAUUUUUCUGACAUACCCGUUCUUCUUCACUCUCCCAUGAAUAUCUACGGUUCUCUUGCUGCAUACAAUAUUAGAAAGCACGAAAUUCUAGGUCUAACUAUUUUCUCAAAUUGAUAUACGAAAAAAAAAUCAUAUAAUUAUUUUUUUUUUCGUAAAUCUAGCAAAUAGUUAAUGUAUCUGCAUUAGAUAUCUUUUGCAUUAAUAUUUUAUUUACUUUCAAACAAUUAAACACUGGUUUUUACUUAGAAAUAUGGCGAAAUAUAACAAAAAUUGUUUUCACCCGCCUUCUCCCCUCCCACCCGGUAAUUAAGGGUGAAAUCAUGAAUAGCUUUAGGCCUUAUACACAAAACCAAUCGGAGUAACUAAAACUAUGUCUGCUUUUUCAACAUAUUCUGAUGUAUAUAUCGCGUGAAUUUCAAGUCCCUGGCUGCAAUAGGUGAAUUAGUCACCCCUUAAACUUUAUGACAUAAUAUCUCAAAAUGGCGGAUUUUAGCAUAUAAAAAUGAUCUGCUCCGUUUUUAUUGGUGUUACAGACAGAUGGGCUAUUGCGGCUUAUCAAACUGUGAUAGGCGAAUAAAGUCUGCUGUCGUCGUUUUUGUUUGGAGUUAAUUUUGAUUUUUGACAAAUAUUUCAAAGUUUUUUUUUUUUUUUACUUUUCAUCGAAAAAAAAUCGUACAAUAAAAGAAAAAAGAUAGCAGACUUUGUUCUCCUAUCCUUCCUGAUCAAAAUACUUUUUAAAUAAAUGAGGGAGGAGAUACGAGUUGAACACAGGCAAUUUAACAAGGGAUUAGCGAUCCUUCAACCACCCUCAAGUGUAUGAAUAAAGGUGAUUAGUUACUUUGAUGUGGAAAGACUGUAAUUUGUAAAGAUGAGAAUAAAUGAGAAUAAAUUAUU